rnacentral:rRNA from 1 species
GAGUUUGAUCCUGGCUCAGGAUGAACGCUGGCGGCGUGCUUAACACAUGCAAGUCGAACGAAGCACCUUGAUUUGAUUCUUCGGAUGAAGAUCUUGGUGACUGAGUGGCGGACGGGUGAGUAACGCGUGGGUAACCUGCCUCAUACAGGGGGAUAACAGUUAGAAAUGACUGCUAAUACCGCAUAAGACCACGGUACCGCAUGGUACAGUGGUAAAAACUCCGGUGGUAUGAGAUGGACCCGCGUCUGAUUAGGUAGUUGGUGGGGUAACGGCCUACCAAGCCGACGAUCAGUAGCCGACCUGAGAGGGUGACCGGCCACAUUGGGACUGAGACACGGCCCAGACUCCUACGGGAGGCAGCAGUGGGGAAUAUUGCACAAUGGAGGAAACUCUGAUGCAGCGACGCCGCGUGAAGGAUGAAGUAUUUCGGUAUGUAAACUUCUAUCAGCAGGGAAGAAAAUGACGGUACCUGACUAAGAAGCCCCGGCUAACUACGUGCCAGCCGCCGCGGUAAUCC